AUGUACAGCCAUACCACCCUGAGAAUGCCUGAUCUCGUCUGAUCUCGGAAGCUAAGCAGGGUCAGGCCCGGUCAGUACUUGGAUGGGAGACCAGCUGGGAAUACCGGGUGCUGUGGGCU
rnacentral:rRNA from 1 species